rnacentral:SRP_RNA from 11 species
CUAUUCGGGUGGAAUUCAGGAUUUGGUGGGUAGCCAUGAAGAGGUGCGCCGCUGCAGUGACGUGAGGCUGGAAACGGAGCAAGGAGAGCACC